rnacentral:rRNA from 1 species
AUAUCAAUAAGCGGAGGAAAAGAAACCAACAGGGAUUGCCUCAGUAACGGCGAGCGAAGCGGCAAAAGCUCAAAUUUGAAAUCUGGCGCCUUUGGCGUCCGAGUUGUAAUUUGUAGAAGUAUCUUUGGAGUUGACCUUUGCACAUGUUCCUUGGAAUAGGACAUCAUAGAGGGUGAGAAUCCCGUACAUGGUGAGGUGCUCAAUUCUUUGUAAAGUGCUUUCUAAGAGUCGAGUUGUUUGGGAAUGCAGCUCUAAGUGGGUGGUAAAUUCCAUCUAAAGCUAAAUAUUGGCGAGAGACCGAUAGCGAACAAGUACAGUGAUGGAAAGAUGAAAAGAACUUUGAAAAGAGAGUGAAAAAGUACGUGAAAUUGUUGAAAGGGAAGGGCUUGAAAUUAGACUUGGCUUGUAGUGAUCAACUAUCUCUUGGGAUUGUGCACUCGCUACUUGCUAGGCCAACAUCGGUUUCGGCGGUAAGAUAAUGGUAGUUGAACGUGGCUCUUCGGAGUGUUAUAGCUUCUGCUGAUAUUGCCAGCUGGGACCGAGGACUGCGCUUUUAGCUAGGAUGUUGGCGUAAU